GACGUAGGGCGCGAGCGUUGUCCGGAAUUAUUGGGCGUAAAGAGCUCGUAGGCGGUUUGUCACGUCGGAUGUGAAAACCCGAGGCUUAACCUCGGGCCUGCAUUCGAUACGGGCUGACUAGAGUUCGGUAGGGGAGACUGGAAUUCCUGGUGUAGCGGUGAAAUGCGCAGAUAUCAGGAGGAACACCGGUGGCGAAGGCGGGUCUCUGGGCCGAUACUGACGCUGAGGAGCGAAAGCGUGGGGAGCGAACAGG
rnacentral:rRNA from 1 species